rnacentral:rRNA from 1 species
UGGCCGUAAACGAUGUGGACUUGGUGUUGGAAUGGCUCCGAGCUGCUCCAGUGCCGAAGGGAAGCUGUUAAGUCCACCGCCUGGGAAGUACGGUCGCAAGACUGGAACUUAAAGGAAUUGGCGGGGGAGCACCACAACGCGUGGAGCCUGCGGUUUAAUUGGAUUCAACGCCGGACAUCUCACCAGGGCGACAGCAGAAUGAUGGCCAGGUUGAUGACCUUGCUUGACAGGCUGAGAGGAGGUGCAUGGCGUGUGACUGU